rnacentral:rRNA from 1 species
UAAAGCAAGAAAGGGCGUAUGGGGAAUGCCUAGGCACACUCCGGCGAAGAAGGACGCAGCAAACAGCGAAAUGCGACGGUGAGCGGUAAGCACGUGAAGAGCCGUCGAUAUCCGAAUGGGGGAACCCACACGGAGUCAUAUCCGUGUAUCACAUGUCGAAUACAUAGACAUGAUGAGGCGAGACGCAGGGAACUGAAACAUCUAAGUACCUGCAGGAAGAGAAAAUAAGAAUGAUUUUCUGAGUAGCGGCGAGCGAAAGGGAAAGAGCCCAAACCGAUUUGAGGAUCGGGGUAGUAGGAUCAUCGAUAAAUCAAACAGAGGAUCAUAGAGGAAUCACAUGGGAAGGUGAGCGAGAGAGGGUGAGAGCCCCGUACUCGAAAUGAGAGACUGGAGAGAGAUGACACCUGAGUAGGGCGGGACACGAGAAAUCCUGUCUGAAUCAGCCGGGACCAUCCGGCAAGGCUAAAUACGAGAGAGUGACCGAUAGUGAACCAGUACCGUGAGGGAAAGGUGAAAAGAACCCCGGGAGGGGAGUGAAAGAGAACCUGAAACCCUGCACUUACAAGCUGUAGGAGCACAUUAUUUGUGUGACUGCGUACUUUUUGUAGAACGGGCCAACGAGUUACGUUGUGUAGCAAGGUUAAGCACUUAAGGUGUGGAGCCGUAGCGAAAGCGAGUCUUAAAUGGGCGUCCAGUUACCCGACGUAGACCCGAAACCAGGCGACCUAUCCAUGAGCAGGUUGAAGCGAAAGUAAAAUUUCGUGGAGGACCGAACCCACGUACGUUGAAAAGUGCGGGGAUGACUUGUGGAUAGCGGUGAAAUUCCAAUCGAGCCUGGAGAUAGCUGGUUCUCCCCGAAAUAGCUUUAGGGCUAGCCUCAAGCUUAGAGAAACGGAGGUAGAGCACUGAAUGUCCUAGGGGGUAUUGCACUUACCGAAGACUAUCAAACUCCGAAUGCCGUAUUCUUUUGCUUGGGAGUCAGACUAUGGGUGAUAAGAUUCAUAGUCAAGAGGGCAACAGCCCAGAUCGUCAGCUAAGGUCCCUAAAUGUAAGUUAAGUGGUAAAGGAUGUGGAAUUGCACAGACAACCAGGAUGUUGGCUUAGAAGCAGCCACUCAUUUAAAGAGUGCGUAAUAGCUCACUGGUCGAGUGAUUCUGCGCCGAAAAUUUCCGGGGCUAAAACUUACUACCGAAGCUACGGCAUCAUUAUGAUGGGUAGGGGAGCUUUCUAUGCGGCUUGAAGCAUGACCGUAAGGACAUGUGGACUGCAUAGAAGUGAGAAUGUUGGCAUGAGUAGCGAGAUGUGGGUGAGAAUCCCACAGGCCGUAAACCCAAGGUUUCCAGGGGAAGGUUCGUCCGCCCUGGGUUAGUCAGGACCUAAGCCGAGGCCGAAAGGCGUAGGUGAUGGACAACAGGUUGAUAUUCCUGUACCACCAAUAACCGUUUGAGAAAUGGGAUGACACAGUAGGAUAAGCUAACCGCACUGUUGGUUAUGUGCGGGCAAGUAUUGAGGCAGUUCCGAUAGGCAAAUCCGUCGGAAUAAUGCUGGGGUACGAUGCGGAGCGAAAUUUAGUAGCGAAGUAGCUGAUUUCACACUGUCGAGAAAAGUCUCUAUCGAGGUUAAAGGUGCCUGUACCGCAAACCGACACAGGUGGGUGAGGAGAGUAUCCUAAGGCCAGCGAGAGAACUGUUGUUAAGGAACUCGGCAAAAUGACCCCGUAACUUCGGGAGAAGGGGUGCCUUCGAAAGAAGGCCGCAGAGAAUAGGCCCAAGCGACUGUUUACCAAAAACAUAGGUUUCUGCUAAGUCGCAAGACGAUGUAUAGGAGCUGACGCCUGCCCGGUGCUGGAAGGUUAAGGGGAUCUGUUAGAGCAAUCGAAGCAGUGAACUUAAGCCCCAGUAAACGGCGGCCGUAACUAUAACGGUCCUAAGGUAGCGAAAUUCCUUGUCGGGUAAGUUCCGACCCGCACGAAAGGCGUAACGAUUUGGGCACUGUCUCAACAACAGACUCGGUGAAAUUGUAAUACCGGUGAAGAUGCCGGUUACCUGCGACAGGACGGAAAGACCCCAUGGAGCUUUACUGUAGCUUGACAUUGAGUCUCGGUGCUACAUGUACAGGAUAGGUGGGAGACUAUGAAGCAUGGACGUCAGUCUGUGUGGAGUCAUCCUUGGGAUACCACCCUUGUAGUACUGGGAUUCUAACCAGAGGCCAUGAAUCUGGUCUUGGGACACUGUCAGGUGGACAGUUUGACUGGGGCGGUCGCCUCCCAAAAAGUAACGGAGGCGCUCAAAGGUUCUCUCAGUACGGUCGGAAAUCGUACGAAGAGUGUAAAGGCAAAAGAGAGCUUGAUUGCAAGACAUACAGGUCGAGCAAGGACGAAAGUCGGACUUAGUGAUCCGGUGGUUCCGCAUGGAAGGGCCAUCGCUCAACGGAUAAAAGCUACCCUGGGGAUAACAGGCUGAUCUCCCCCAA